CCUUCUCACUCAAAUAUGCCUUCUUUAGUGUGGAGUACAGCAAUGUGAGGACAUACUCUUCCAUCCUACCUAGAGCUUUCUGAUUUUUUGCUCUACAUUUCAGGAUACCUCCCAGAAAAUACAGGAAAUUUGAAUCACACCAGCUCUGUCCCUAUCCAGCUUCUCUUGGCAUCUAGCCUCUGUACCAGAGCUAUUUCUAAACUAAGCCAGAUAAAAUAUCCGGUAUUGAACACCAUGGUCACAGCAAUCAAACUAAGAUCCACAGUGCUACUGUUUAUGAAGACUGUUCCUCAACCACUCUUUCAGGAAAGCUUCUAUAGUACUUCCAACUCAAGCAAAGCAGAGUGCUGAAUGGGAAGAAACGCGUGGCUUCCAAACCAGGAUCUUGGUUACCUCUCGUGAAUGUUUAACUUAAAAAGCCAAAAUCUUCCGUACAUCUGCCAUGAAAUAUCUGACAUCAAGCAAGAUGGGUUUUUGCAUUUUUUCCCCUCAUCAGAAACUGACACUAACACCAUCAAAGUCAAUGACAAGUUUUACCACCAAGGCCUCAUUAGAGAGCAAAAUUGUUUAAAGGCGAAGAAUUGGUUAAAGAGUUACUUUGGAUGUUGGGUUUUGGGUUUUUUUGCUCUAUAGUUGUCUGGUUUGCUGAUUUUAUUAGCCCUGCUUAAGCAAUUCCCAGGGCAAACAAUUUGUCAUAUCGGUCUUCCUUCCUCACUUCAUAGGCAAAAUGUAUUGCCUUUAUACUUUUGUAAUUUAAUUUUUCCAGAGAACAUUGAUGUAUCUACAUAUAUGAAAAGCAAAGCAAGUCUGGAAAAAAGUGUUUUGUACUGGGUGCAGAAGUAGUGAAUUUUGUGGUACACUUCACCUAAACAUGUGAGGUGAAAGAUUGGCUCUGUAAGUAAACAGCUAAGAAGUGCACCAUAAUAUUUUUCAGUUUCCGAAGAAAUUGAAUUAUUUAGUCACAUUUAAUGACCCUAUGUUUACCAAACCAUCCCAAUGAGUAAU